UACGUAGGGCGCAAGCGUUUGUCCGGAAUUAUUGGGCGUAAAGAGCUCGUAGGCGGCUUGUCACGUCGGAUGUGAAAGCCCGGGGCUUAACCCCGGGUCUGCAUUCGAUACGGGCUAGCUAGAGUGUGGUAGGGGAGAUCGAAUUCCUGGUGUAGCGGUGAAAUGCGCAGAUAUCAGGAGGAACACCGGUGGCGAAGGCGGAUCUCUGGGCCAUUACUGACGCUGAGGAGCGAAAGCGUGGGGAGCGAACAGG
rnacentral:rRNA from 1 species